UCCSCSGGGCWUUGCCUCAGUAGCGGCGAGUGAAGCGGCAAAAGCUCAAAUUUGAAAUCUGGCGUCUUUGGCGUCCGAGUUGUAAUUUGAAGAAGGUAUCUUUGGGCCCGGCUCUUGUCUAUGUUCCUUGGAACAGGACGUCACAGAGGGUGAGAAUCCCGUGCGAUGAGAUGACCCGGGUCUGUGUAAAGUUCCUUCGACGAGUCGAGUUGUUUGGGAAUGCAGCUCUAAGUGGGUGGUAAAUUCCAUCUAAAGCUAAAUAUUGGCGAGAGACCGAUAGCGAACAAGUACAGUGAUGGAAAGAUGAAAAGAACUUUGAAAAGAGAGUGAAAAAGUACGUGAAAUUGUUGAAAGGGAAGGGCUUGAGAUCAGACUUGGUAUUUUGCAUGCUGCUCUCUCGGGGGCGGCCGCUGCGGUUUACCGGGCCAGCAUCGGUUUGGAGCGGCAGGAUAAUGGCGGAGGAAUGUGGCACGGCUUCUGCUGUGUGUUAUAGCCUCUGACGAUACUGCCAGCCUAGACCGAGGACUGCGGUUUUUACCUAGGAUGUUGGCAUAAUGAUCUUAAGUCGCCCGUCUUGAAACACGGACCA
rnacentral:rRNA from 1 species